UGGGAGAACAGUGGCAUGGUACCACAUCUCACGAGUCACGAGCUCUUCCUUCCCCAGGGCAGCAUAUCCCAAUUAUGCAUUCCUGUCAUCAUCCUCUCCCUCUUGUCUGGGCUCAUCCCCCUUCAGACAAGCUACAGUGCUGCUAAGUCCCUAAAGAAAUCAAGCGCCCCCUCAAAAAGAACAUCUUAGCAGUGCAAAAUG
rfam:Tupaia chinensis contig114389, whole genome shotgun sequence.